GUGCCUACGGGACGCAGCAGUGAGGAAUAUUGGUCAAUGGCCGCAGGGCUGAACCAGCCAAGUCGCGUGAGGGAUGACGGUCCUAUGGAUUGUAAACCUCUUUUGUCAGGGAGCAAAGGGCGCCACGUGUGGCGCUUUGCGAGUACCUGAAGAAAAAGCAUCGGCUAACUCCGUGCCAGCAGCCGCGGUAAUACGGAGGAUGCGAGCGUUAUCCGGAUUUAUUGGGUUUAAAGGGUGCGCAGGCGGCGAGUAAAGUCAGCGGUAAAAUUUCGGGGCUCAACCCCGACGAGCCGUUGAAACUGGCU
rnacentral:rRNA from 1 species